UACGUAGGGUGCUAGCGUUGUUCGGAAUCAUUGGGCGUAAAGCGCGUGUAGGUGGUUAGGUAAGUUAGGUGUGAAAGCCCUCGGCUCAACCGAGGAAGUGCAUCUAAAACUACCUAGCUAGAGGACGGUAGAGGAAGGUGGAAUUCCUAGUGUAGAGGUGAAAUUCGUAGAUAUUAGGAGGAAUACCGGUGGCGAAGGCGGCCUUCUGGGCCGUUCCUGACACUGAGACGCGAAAGCGUGGGGAGCAAAC
rnacentral:rRNA from 1 species